AAUUCUGCCCUCCCAACAGAGAACCUCCUAGGUCUUCAGGCCUAACCUUUUCUGUGAUCUGGAGGAAUUCACUGUAGCUCUGGUCUUCACUUGUGAAAGCAACAGGACCAGCCCUGUCCUCCAUCCACUCUCCACUUCAGAUCUGAGACAAACGCCUGGCAGCUUCAAAUAAAGGCCUUGCAGGCUUUUCCCUCUUACCAGCAGGCCCCCUUCUGAUGGACAGGCUGGAUCAGGAGCACGUGAUCAUGUUACAAGUCCUUCUGCAUUCAAUUCCUGUGCUCUGGGAUUGCAGAUGUGAGCUACCAUGCCCAGCCUGUGUUCUUUGAACCUGUUGUUGUUCCUUUCUGGUGUACAUAUAUUUCUGAAUUACAUAUAUAUUGUGGAGAGCUGCUCCUUAA